rnacentral:lncRNA from 1 species
CAGAGUCACGCUGGGAUGUUGUGACAGAAUCACACGAGUACAUGGGAUUCAUCCCAUUCUGAAAAUGCCUGAGCAGCAAAGAGCAGAGGUAAAUGGAAUCAAAUGUCAGAGUCAGCGCAGCCUGAGAGAGACUUGAAACUCAGACUCCACCAUCUAUGGGGAAAGUUUCCUGCUGUGGCAUGGAAUAAACACGACAGAAAGAAAAUGACAGCGAGACUUCUAAGAACAACCCUUGCUUUGCUCUCCCUUGGCUUCUUUGGGGUCCUGAAGGCAUCAACAAUAUCAUGCAGAAAUGAAGAAGGUGAAGCCGUGGAUUGGUAGGUAAAAGAAAUGAAAGGAUGGGUGUA